UCAACUAGCCGUUGGGACUCUUGAAGUCUUAGUGGCGCAGCUAACGCACUAAGUUGACCGCCUGGGGAGUACGGCCGCAAGGUUAAAACUCAAAUGAAUUGACGGGGGCCCGCACAAGCGGUGGAGCAUGUGGUUUAAUUUGACGCAACGCGAAGAACCUUACCUGGCCUUGACAUCCAGAGAACUUUCCAGAGAUGGAUUGGUGCCUUCGGGAACUCUGAGACAGGUGCUGCAUGGCCGUCGUCAGCUCGUGUCGUGAGAUGUUGGGUUAAGUCCCGUAACGAGCGCAACCCCUAUCCCUGGUUGCUAGCAGGUAAUGCUGAGAACUCCAGGGAGACUGCCGGUGACAAACCGGAGGAAGGUGGGGAUGACGUCAGGUCAUCAUGGCCCUUACGGCCAGGGCUACACACGUGCUACAAUGGCGCGUACAGAGGGCUGCCAACUCGCGAGAGUGAGCCAAUCCCUUAAAACGCGUCGUAGUCCGGAUCGGAGUCUGCAACUCGACUCCGUGAAGUCGGAAUCGCUAGUAAUCGCGAAUCAGAAUGUCGCGGUGAAUACGUUCCCGGGCCUUGUACACACCGCCCGUCACACCAUGGGAGUGGAUUGCACCAGAAGUAGUUAGUCUAACCUUCGGGA
rnacentral:rRNA from 1 species